CCAAUAGCGUAUAUUAAAGUUGUUGCAGUUAAAAAGCUCGUAGUUGAACUUCGGGGUUCACCCAUUGGUCAGGCUUAAUUGUCUGUACUGGUGAGAUGAGUCUCUACCUUCUGAGGAACUUUCAUGCCAUUCGUUUGGUGUGAUGGGAAGUCAGGACUGUUACUUUGAAAAAAUUAGAGUGUUUAAAGCAGGCUAACGUCUGAAUACAUUAGCAUGGAAUAAUGAAAUAGGACGGAUUGAUUCUAUUUCGUUGGUUUCUAGGGUCACCGUAAUGAUUAAUAGGGAUAGUUGUGGGCAUUAGUAUUCAAUUGUCAGAGGUGAAAUUCUUGGAUUUAUUGAAGACUAACUACUGCGAAAGCAUUUGCCAAGGAUGUUUUCAUUAAUCAAGAACGAAAGUUAGGGGAUCGAAGACGAUCAGAUACCUUCGUAGUCUUAACCAUAAACUAUGCCGACUAGGGAUCGGACGAAGUUAAUUUUAUAAUGACGCGUUCGGCACCUUACG
rnacentral:rRNA from 1 species